AACGAACGCUGGCGGCAGGCUUAACACAUGCAAGUCGAGCGCCCCGCAAGGGGAGCGGCAGACGGGUGAGUAACGCGUGGGAAUCUACCCAACCCUGCGGAAUAGCUCCGGGAAACUGGAAUUAAUACCGCAUACGCCCUACGGGGGAAAGAUUUAUCGGGGAUGGAUGAGCCCGCGUUGGAUUAGCUAGUUGGUGGGGU
rnacentral:rRNA from 1 species